GGUGUCAUAUGGGUGACAUCACUCCCCCAGCUAGCCAAUGGCUGGGGGCCGGCUCCGCCCAUCUUCCUUUAUUAACUCGGAGGCCCCGCCCCUCCACCCCGCCCUCCGGGCUGCUUUGCAAAGAUGGGGGUGGGGGGAGAGGAGGCAUGUCUAGAAAUAUGUUAUUUUUAAAAAAUCCGCGUGUGUGCACAGAUGCGCCUGUUCCCGGGAUGCUCGGAAGCGGCGCGCGGCACCACGGGGAGCGGGCGGCCCGGGGCGAACCGGGAUGGUUCGGGCGCCGGCGCUAACCGAGGACCGGGUCCCGGGAGAGGCCCCGCGCGCCUUUGUGCCCAGUCCCCGGGAGGCCCGACGGCGACAGCGGACGGCGCGCGCUCACUCCCCGGGUGCACACACUCGGGCACGCGCCCAGCCUGAGACGGCGGCCUCCGCCCGGCUCGCGGUCAGCCGCGCCCGGCCUGCCCCGGGGUGGGCGCAGCUGCUCCCCGGCGAGCCCCUCGCGGGGCUCGGCCGCUCCCCCGGGUCGCCGCCCCGAGCCCGCCCGGUAGCCCCGCGGCGGCCCUGGCCGACGGAAGGUGGCGCUUGAAGACAGCAACCUUCCCGGCACGUGGGCUCUGCUCUCCUUUUCCCUUUCUCCCUUUUUGUAAGGCAAAGAAAUCAAUUUAAAGCUCGAGAGGCGGUGAGCUCCCUCCCCCGUUUUGCAUUUUUCUGUUUUGUCCUUUUUCUCCGUCUGUUUUCCCUCCUCGGUGGUGUUUGGGGACGCGGCUGUGCGGGUUGGGCUGCGCCGCGCCCCCGCGCGCCCCGCCCCGGGCGGGGGCCGGAGUAACGGUCUGCGGGGCCCUCGGGUUCAAGCUGGCCACUCCCAGGGCUGGCUCCGGAGCGGGCUCUGGGUCCCGCAGGCUCCAGCAAGCCCGCGCCCCGCCCGGCGUCCCUGCGAGGGGCCCGGCGCCCUCCUUCCCUUCUCCCUCUGCUCCCCGCCCCUCCUCUCCCCGCCCCGUCCUCUCCCCGCCCCUCCGCCGCUCCUUUCUCCUUCCCAGGCCUCCUCUUCCUCUUUGUCCUUCCCCCAUCCUCGGUCGCCAGCGCUUCUCCGGCAGCCUCGUCCUGAAAUCGUGCGAUUGUGAGCUAGAAGCCUUCUGGGUCACUCAUAAACCAAAGAGAAAAUAAGGCAGCACAUAUUUCCCAUAGAAAUGUGGAAUGUAAGAAAGGCACAUAAAGCAAUCCAAGUUGCCUGCAGAUAUCCACAGCCUACUUCAGUCUCAGUAAUGCUCUUUUAACCUGGUGCAUCAGUUUAAGGGAAGACAUGAGAUCAUGGGUUUAAGUGAGGCUUCAUCAUGCCAAGACAACGUGAUCAGUUAUUCCCAACCUAUAUAACUCACAUACACUGGAGGAAAUAUCUUCAUGGAAUUAAAACCACAUGGAGUAACAUUUCACGUAAGCAGAAUUCAGGAAUGAUUUCAGUAAUUCCAUCCCAAACACACACAGGCAAAGGGAGUGAAGAUUUCUUCAGCAACAUGGUGGCAGAAAGAUCAUGAAAAGAUCUAGGCCAGUCCAAGCUCACUGCAGUUAAAUCUUCAGUCUCCAGCACUGCACUUGGGAAAGCGUCAAGGAGUUGAAUGUAUAUGUAAUUGGAGUGCCAGAAGAAGAGAACUGAGAGAGAGGGGCAGAACAGCUCAUGAGGGGGAAAACCCACUACAUACAAACAAGAAUACUGCAGACUCCUCAUCAGAAUCUAUAUCCAUUAUCUACUAUAUGGUCAGAAGAUUCUGAAGGCAUGAAGACAUACUUCUCUGGGCCCUGGGAGGCUUCUGACAGGAGGAGUCACAUGCCUAGGAAGUAUCCUAACAGGAUGAUGCAGCAUGAAGGCCCCCCUCAGAUGCUGGUGCAAUGAUCUUGGACUUCCCAACCUCCAGAACCAUGAGCCAAACAAAUUUCUAUUGUUUAUAAAUUACCCCGUCUCAAGUAUUCUGUUAUAGCAACACAACUGGACUAAGACAGAGGGUUACACGUAUCUUUCACAGGAAUUCCUUGGGGCUUAAUACAAAUCCUUGAGAGUUCUAGCCCAGAUGCAGCCUAGAAAUGUGAAGAUGAAGGAGGUAGGUAGUAGGGUUGUUAUUAAUCCUAGGGGAAACCCUCCACUAUGGGAUUCUGAAAUCAGCAGAUAAAUGCUGCAGCCCCCAGACUUGUGAAGAAAUUUUUGAGAUUCAUCUUCUCUGGUUCUUCAGCACAUCACCAAGGCAUGGACCUGCAGUUGGCUCCAGCUAUAACUAGCUCAAUGAUGCAUCCUUCACUGUUUUUCUUUCUUUCCCCAUUUUUCUCUGUAUGUUUCCUUACUUUAGCUUCCUGGGAUCAACUCCCAAAUAAGCUACCUGAAGCCAACUGUUUGCCCAAUACACUUUCUUCAGGAAACCCAGUCUGAGACAUAAGAAAACAAAUCAAAUGCUAAUUCAGUGGUUCAGUUGGUAAAAAUAACAGAGACUCAGCCUAGUUGGCACUAGUGGAGAUAAAGAAAAGAGGACAACUUUGUUAUGCAUUUUAUAGACAGUCAUGAGGCAUGCAAAUUGGUGUAAUGUAUGCAGAAAAAGAAAGGGAAAUUUUCAGUGUGAUACUACAGUUAGUCCACUGUAUACCUAGAAUUGUCUUUUUCAGAGAAAGAUGGUGGCCUUUGGAAAAGGUACAGAUUUGGGAGGAAGAUCGUUAAUUCAAUUUGGGCAUGUUAUGUCCAAACUACAUUAAAUACUUGAGAACUAUUUCUUUAAUAAUGGAUGAGUGAAGUCAGUUCAUUUCCAAGCUUCUUAUUUGUCUUAUCUGUGAAAGAAAAAUUGUGAUGUCUAGUACCCAGAUAUGUAAAAAGUAAAUGUAAUCUACCACAUUAAAGCUCAAAAUGCUCGAUGUUUUUGCAAAUAUAAAAUAAUGUGACUUACUUUAAAGAUAAUAAAUUAAAUAUUAAACAUGGC
rnacentral:lncRNA from 10 species